rnacentral:rRNA from 1 species
GAAAGUGCUGGUAAUACCCGAUGAUAUCUGCGAGUCACAUGGCUGGCAGAUCAAAAGGCGGGGAUCCUUCGGGACCUGUCGGUACGAGCUCGGCCCAUGUCCUAUCAGCUUGUUGGUGGGGUAAUGGCCUACCAAGGCGAUGACGGGUAGCCGGCGUGAGAGCGCGACCGGCCACAUCGGGACUGAGACACUGCCCGGACACCUACGGGUGGCUGCAGCAACGAAUAUUCCGCAAUGGGCGCAAGCCUGACGGAGCGACGCCGCGUGGAGGAUGAAGUCCCUCGGGAUGUAAACUCCAAUAGUUUGUCAGAAAGUAAACCGGGUGAAUAAUCCGGGGCGUUGAUCAGCAAACGAAAGGGGUGGCUAACUCCGUGCCAGCAGCCGCGGUAACACGGAGACCCCAAGCGUUGUUCGGAAUUACUGGGCUUAAAGAGGAUGUAGGCGGAAUGGCAAGUACCUUGUGAAAGCCCAGGGCUCAACCCUGGAAUUGCUGGGUAUACUGUCAUUCUUGAGGCAGGCAGGGGUUGCUGGAACCUUAGGUGGAGCGGUGAAAUGCGUAGAUAUCUAAGGGAACGCCUGUGGCGAAAGCGGGCAACUGGGCCUGUCCUGACGCUGAGAUCCGAAAGCGUAGGGAGCGAACGGGAUUAGAUACCCCGGUAGUCUACGCCGUAAACGAUGCGCACUAGGCUCGAGAGUUGCUGACAAUUUUCGAGCCGAAACAAAAGCGAUAUCUGCGCCGCCUGGGGAGUACGGCCGCAAGGCUAAAACUCAAAGGAAUUGACGGGGGCUCACACAAGCGGUGGAGCAUGUGGAUCAAUUCGAAGCAACGCGAAGAACCUUACCUGGGUUUGACAUGUACGGAUGCUGCUCUGGAAACAGAGUUAGUUGCCUUCGGGUGAAACGUACACAGGUGCUGCAUGGCUGUCGUCAGCUCGUGCUGUGAAGUGUCGGGUUAAGUCCCUUAACGAGCGAAACCCCUGUCGCUAGUUGCCAACGGGUCAUGCCGGCCCCUCUAGCGAGACUGCCGGCGUUAAGCCGGAUCAAGUCGGGGAUGACCUUCAAGUCAUCAUGGCCUUUAUGUCCAGGGUGUCACACGUGCUACAAUGGGGUGUACAGAGCGACGCGAGACCGCGAGGUGGAGCAAAUCGCAGAAAGCACCCCCCAGUUCGGAUUGGGGUCUGCAAUUCGACCCCAUGAAGUUGGAAUCGCUAGUAAUCGCGCAUCAGCCAUGGCGCGGUGAAUGUGUUCCUGAGCCUUGUACACACCGCCCGUCAAGUCAUGGGAAUCGGGAG